CGGAUUGCAGGCUGCAACUCGCCUGCAUGAAGUCGGAAUUGCUAGUAAUCGCGGAUCAGCAUGCCGCGGUGAAUACGUUCUCGGGCCUUGUACACACCGCCCGUCACACCAUGGGAGUCGGUAACACCCGAAGUCUGUAGCCUGACGCAAGAGGGCGCAGCCGAAGGUGGGAUUGAUGACUGGGGUGAAGUCGUAACAAGGUAUC
rnacentral:rRNA from 1 species